CUUACAUUUGCAUAAGGUUGGCAUAAACAGACUGUAUGACAAUUUUGUCUUGCUGAACAACAUUAAGUUUUCUAAUUAUCAUAAUUCUUUUAAGAUAAAUAGAUACCAGAUAAGAAUUGUAAAUAGUAUAUUUAUAAACAGUAAAUUAUUAAGCUAUAUAUAUAGUACUAUAAACAAUAUUAUUUGUUUACAUGAUAAAGGACUGGGUAUGAGAGAUCUGGGUUAUUUUGUACCUUGUAUUCACUCCUUGAGAAGCUAGAGGCUGAGCGACAAGUGAGUUUGGUCAAUAUGAUUAGAAAAAUUAGGACACACCGCCGACAAGCUAUAACAGGGGUGGAGCAACUGAAGUUCUGUUUCCGGUGUGUAUCUGCCUAUUUAGAGAUAUAUAAUACAUACUCAAACUUCGCUACAUGAUUGUUUCUGGUGAAUAUCUGCCUUUUUAGAGAUAUGUAACAUUUACUGAAAUUUCGCUACAUAAAUGUUUCCGGUGUAUAUCUGCCUAGUUAGAGAUAUAUAUAACAUUUACUCAAACAACGCUACAUAACUGUUUUAGGUAAAUAUGUAUACAGAGAUGUAUUGCCCAUACCAAACUACGCUACAUGACUGUUUUCGGUGUAAAUAUAUAUAUAGAAAUACAAACACACGCCACACGACAGUUCCCAGUGUAUACCAUGUGUUUUUAUAUAGAAAUGUAUGCAAAACCAAUACUUAAAGUACACUACAUGACUGUUUCUUCCGUAUAUUUGCUUAUAAAUAGAGAUGUAUUUCACAAUGUAUGCAACAAACAAAUUCUAAGAACGUGUGUAAUAGACAUAUAAUGCAAGUGAAUUCAUUUUGAAUCGCAAAAAUAAAAAUGACCCAACGGAAUGAAAAUAUAUAAUUGUAAACGGAACUACUUUACUAACAAUACCAUAUUAUAAUAGAAUAUACAGUUAAGUAUUAAAAUUACUAUUCAAAGAGUUAUUGUUAAAAUACAUGGAUCUAAUUUUUGCAUGGCUAUCAUGGAUUUUAUUACAACGGAUAACUUACAAAAUGGAUCACUACUGUAUAUAUUUUAGCUUGUGAUGUCUCAAGUUAAACAUCAUCAAGAUACUUUUAUAAUUAUCUGAUUGUAAUUCAUUUUGAUAUUGUUUAUAUGCUGGUUGCAGUUUAUCAUGAUGUUAUAUUCCUUCUAACACUCGUAUUUUAGUUGUUAUAUUUUUAUUCAAUGUGAUUUGUUCAUAAACAUCAUCACUUUAAUAUAUGUAGUUUCUUUUAUA